UUAACCACCAAGAUUUUUGAAGACAUCCAACUUCCAUUUUUUUUUUCUUUUUCCUUCUUCAAUUUGCAGAGAACUUCUAAGAGAGAGUUUGGAAGAAGAAGAGAAAUUUUACUAGAAUUUUGAGGUUGAAGAAGAGGAGGAGAACUCAAGCAAAGUGUAUCCAUGGCUGAAUUUUAGUUCAUUCUACACAUCACUGGUUUUUAAUUCGGUUUGAACUCUUCAAAAGGAAUUAAGAGGUGAGAUUUACAUUUACUGAAAGUUAACUCAUUUUCAGACAAACUUUAUGAAGAACGUUGGAGCAAAUUCGGAUAUUCAUUUGGUGCUUUUUGAUGAAGAAAACAAGGCAGUUGGUUUUCACUCGAAAUCAGGAGGUCUCUGGUUUUUCUUGUAUUUCAGAGUGUAUCGGUGGAGUUAGAAUCUCUAUUUAGUAUGGUUGGAAAUAUUAUUCAAUUUACUACAACUUUCAUGAAGAAAUUGUAAACCAAAUAUGACUAAAAAUCAGUUAAAUUGUAGGGACAAGUUAAAGAGGUCGUGUGCGCGCGAUUCUGGAAGUGGUUUGGUUUUGAGGGUUAUAUGUGUUUAUGCACGGGGAAUCAGAUUUAUAUGUCUUCAGGCCGAGAAGAAUUAAACCGAGCUUAUAGACCAAGGAUCUAGCCCAAGACUGUGAGUGACAAAACCAACUUUGAAAUAUUUUCCAUAAUUGUUAUUAUGAUUGAAUGUGAUAAAUGUUUGUUUACGAAGCCAUGAAAGGUAUUUGAAUUUCAUGACUAUUUCCAAGUAUACAUUUGGAGACUAGAUUUCUUAAAGAAAUUUAUGCUAACAUGUAGAUAUUAAAUGUUUGGAAAGUAUUUAAACCACAAUAUUUUAAGCAAAGCAUGAAUUAGUAUGAAGUUUUGUUUUAAGAACUACAAUUUUCCACGAAAGAGCUGAGUAAAGUUCGAGCUUUGUGUAAAAUUUAUAAGCAGGCAUGUUUUAAUAUUUUAAGAUGAUUUAUGAAAUUUUCAUUAACUACAUGACUGAGAUCUUGAGCCUGAGGCUAGAGAUUACCGUGUGCACACUGGUUAGAUUCCGUUGUUGACGUUGAGUGUACUCCGUAACAACGAGGUUAUCGUGAGUGGUGGGCGGGCUCUACUACGACAAAGACGAUGAGAGUGCUGGGCGGGCCCCACUACAUCGUAGUGCUUGUAAACGUUGUUGUACUAGGUGUACCCUACACAACGUAGAUUCGUCAUGUUAGUUAAAAUGCUUCGAUAUACUUGAUAUGCCUUGCUAGAUUUCAAUGAUGAACAUGCUGAGUAUUUAAGGAAGCUAUUCUUACUACUACACAUUUACAUUUACGACUUGUAUAAACAGAUUUGUAUGUGUAAAGUUUUCACGUGCUCUUAUCUUUAAAUUCAUAGUUUUAAACUGAGUCACUCACUGAGCUUCAUAGCUCACCCUUUCCAAAAUGUUUUACCCAUUUUCCAGGUAGAGAUCGAGUUCCCGGUGCCUGAUAGACUGUCUUAGUCUGCGGAAGCUUCAUUAUCGAUUGCCAGUACGUGUUUUGAGUUGGGCAUAGAGUCUGUUGUGUUGUGAUGUAUAUACACCCUUGUAUGUUAUAGAUACUCCACAGUUUGUAUAAGCUUUAGGAGCUGUAGUUGUGUAAAUUUUGUUGGUUAUAUUUUGAUUAAGGUGUCUUUAGGUUUACUCGUGAAAUCGGUAAAUUUUGAGGUACACUUCAUGUAUGUGUUUGACUAGCUGUGUUUGACUAGCCUAGGAUCCGCUGUGUUUUGUGACAUGUACAAUAGUUUAUAUACUAGAUUGGCAAGUUCAUCACAUGAAA